rnacentral:rRNA from 1 species
CCUACGGGAGUCAGCAGUAAGGAAUAUUGGUCAAUGGACGAAAGUCUGAACCAGCCAUGCCGCGUGAAGGAUGAAGGCCCUCUGGGUUGUAAACUUCUUUUAUCUGGGACGAAAAAAGCUCAUUCUUGAGCACUUGACGGUACCAGAGGAAUAAGCACCGGCUAACUCCGUGCCAGCAGCCGCGGUAAUACGGAGGGUGCAAGCGUUAUCCGGAUUCACUGGGUUUAAAGGGUGCGUAGGUGGGUCUGUAAGUCAGUGGUGAAAUCUCCGAGCUUAACUCGGAAACUGCCAUUGAUACUAUAGGUCUUGAAUCAUCUGGAGGUAAGCGGAAUAUGUCAUGUAGCGGUGAAAUGCUUAGAUAUGACAUAGAACACCAAUUGCGAAGGCAGCUUACUACGGGUGUAUUGACACUGAGGCACGAAAGCGUGGGGAUCAAACAGGAUUAGAUACCCUGGUAGUCCACGCCCUAAACGAUGGAUACUCGACAUCAGCGAUACACUGUUGGUGUCUGAGNGAAGANAUAAUAUCCNCCNCGAGAGACGCGAGUAGAGANAANAGAUAGAGNGNGAGAGNGCGAGACGACACAGGGAGGAG